UACGAGGGGGGCGAGCGUUGUUCGGAAUUAUUGGGCGUAAAGGGUGCGUAGGCGGUUUGGUAAGUCUGAUGUGAAAUCUAUGGGCUCAACUCAUAGUCUGCAUCGGAAACUGCCGGGCUUGAGUAUGGGAGAGGUGAGUGGAAUUCCUGGUGUAGCGGUGAAAUGCGUAGAUAUCAGGAGGAACACCUGUGGCGAAAGCGGCUCACUGGACCAUAACUGACGCUGAUGCACGAAAAGCUAGGGGAGCAAACAGG
rnacentral:rRNA from 1 species